rnacentral:lncRNA from 1 species
CCAUAGUCACGAGGUGGAGGAACACAACUAUCCUUCCCACCUCUGGGAGAUCCUUUUCAUCAAAAAAGGGAUAUGGGUUAGAUCCGAUAUAGUCCCCCCUCCAUAGAUGAUAGGCUCUGAUAACAAUCUUCCAUUUUCCUUUUCAUGCACAUUGCACAUUCCUACUGCUGAUUUAUGCCAAAUUAUAAAUAUAUAUCAGGG